AUUGAACGCUGGCGGCAGGCCUAACACAUGCAAGUCGAGCGGAUGACGGGAGCUUGCUCCUUGAUUCAGCAGCGGACGGGUGAGUAAUGCCUAGGAAUCUGCCUGGUAGUGGGGGACAACGUUUCGAAAGGAACGCUAAUACCGCAUACGUCCUACGGGAGAAAGCAGGGGACCUUCGGGCCUUGCGCUAUCAGAUGAGCCUAGGUCGGAUUAGCUUGUUGGUGAGGUAAUGGCUCACCAAGGCGACGAUCCGUAACUGGUCUGAGAGGAUGAUCAGUCACACUGGAACUUAGACACGGUCCAGACUCCUACGGGAGGCAGCAGUGGGGAAUAUUGGACAAUGGGCGAAAGCCUGAUCCAGCCAUGCCGCGUGUGUGAAGAAGGUCUUCGGAUUGUAAAGCACUUUAAGUUGGGAGGAAGGGUUGUAGAUUAAUACUCUGCAAUUUUGACGUUACCGACAGAAUAAGCACCGGCUAACUCUGUGCCAGCCGCCGCCGUAACAC
rnacentral:rRNA from 1 species